UCUUAUCCUUCUCUGCCGUUUCAAUUAUUCACACCCAUUCCACCUUUCUACUUUCAACCCUCAAUUGAUCUCUUCCAGUUUCCCCUCACCGACGCCGUCCCUGGAUUCCGCCAUAGACCUUCUCUCAGGCCACCGCCACUAACUGCCAUCACCGCUUCUCCGUUCCGUGAAUGACCUCCUCUCCAUCCAUUCCCAUGUGGCAUCUUCUCUCUCACUACUCUUCACCUUCAGUCACGUGCCUAUGUUAUCUUCAGAUCCUUUGUCAGUAAAUUUAUCCCAAACAUAAUGGUUAAGCUUUGUUCAUCAUUGAGUUUUAGCUAUGUUGUCUUCUACCUUCAAGUCUUUACUGCAUUGCCUUCUCUAUUGUUGACCUGAAUUGGGUGUGAAUAUAGAUUCUAUGACAGGUUUAAAAUACUGCGGAAAAAUUCUCAUUGAGGUAUCUAUGCGAUUUCCCACUUACAACUUUGCUGACUUUCUGAAUCCGCAAGUUGAACUUGAUAGAGCUAGGCUUGUGCAACUGUUCAACAAAGUAGCCUUAUGACUCUUUAUCAAUCUUUGUUUAGUCAGAUAAUUGACUAAUUGUUAUUAAUUUAUUUGACUGAAGAAGAUAGAAAAUGGAGGAGAGGACUGAAAUUCAGAAUGGGGUUGCUCUAUGAAGUAUGAUAGUUGCUCUAGAGGAGGGGAAAUGGGGUCAUGAGGGAAGUGGCAAGUGGGAAAGAGAGAGAUAUGAGCGGUGACUUGACAAGGUUUUCUUUUGGUUUGCAAGGAGUUAGAAUAAGAAGUUGGAGCAGAUCUAAUAGCAUGAUACAACCAUAGAGAAAUUAUGGUAGUUUGGGUGGGGUUGAAAGGACACGAUGCCCAACUAGGUGACAAAGAAGCAAGGUUGAUGACUCAUUUGAAGAGGUUGCAAAGAUUGGUAUUUUUAUUUUACCCACGGGAAAGAAGCAAAGUAUGAUCCAAACAGGUCUAAGAGACCUCCAUUCUCAUUCCUCUAAAUUCAGGAGUGGAAGCAGGGUUUUGGAUUCACUCAUACUGUUAGCUGCCACUGUACGUGAGCUCUUACAUCACAAGUUGAGCUUAUGUGUUAUGUUUCAUGAUAUCUUUAUGAUCACCAUUUAUAUAAGCAUUGCUGUUAGGUUGAUACCCAGAAAAUUUCUGGUCUUAAAAGCAACUAUAGUUUUAUCACUUUAUGCUUUUUUACCUGGGAGUUAAUUGCUAUUUUUACUAUUUUACUUGAGUAAAUUAUAGUAACUGAAUUUACAGUGAAAUGGAUAAAGAAAUACUCAGAAAACACUCCUCUGAUUACAAAUGGCAGUUUACAGCAAAUUAUAGAAGCUGGAAAAGAAAGAAACAUAUACGAGAAUAAACCUCAGUACUACCCAAAUGAUUUCCCACCACCUUUCUCACUAUCCUCUCUUUCCCUCAUAUUCACGUCCUUUUCCCUGGUUCCAGCAUCCCCUGCUACCCUACUCUGUUGCCACUGUCCAGUUUGUUAGAAUUUGACCUAGCAGACACUUCCCCGCUAUCUCCCACAUCAUUUUCCAACCUACCCUUCUUCCUCUUCCCCCUUUUACUGUAGUCCUUCAUUGGAAGCCCAUGAUGAGGUUCAUCAGUAAACCAUUUUGUUCAUUACGCAACAACUCAGCAGCCAAUAGUUUGAGUUUUCAACUGACUUUUAUGAUGAACUUUUGGAAGAGACACUUUAGCUUUAGCAUUGUAAAUCUUGGCAGUCAACCGAAGGUAUUUAUCAUCUAGAGUCUAGAGGAUUGUGAAUUUAACUUGAUUUUCUUUCCUUGGUUUUCAAGUUCGUAGAGGACUUUUAUAAUUCUUUGAAUAAUUAUGUGUGGUGGUUUUGUUUUGAGAUGAACUGACAUUGAAAUCUUUGGACUCUAUUUCCCAGCCAUUAGAUGAUGUCUUCAUUUUGUUAGCCCUAGGACAAGGGUAUCCUCUAAGAUGCUUCUUCUUACAAAGGUCACAAUUCUUGAUAUGCUUGAUGGAUUAUAUGAAACAAAGGAAAUGAUUUAUGCAGAGAUAUUGGAGCAAGCUGAGAGUAGGGAGUCUUUUAUUGGGGGAGACAUGUUUCUCCCGCUAUAGCAGGGGAUGAUUUCCGUAUGAAGUUUUGUAAUCAUUAUACUUCUCUUUUCACUAAUUGAAGAGCUAUAUCAGUACUGAGUAGAGAUGUACCUACUAUAAUCUUGAACUGUUGCUCUCUGUGACUUUGCUACCCGCUAUUGUAGCAUCCUAUCACUUCAGGGAACCAACAAGAGCAAUAAGGGAUGCGAAUUCUGUAAGAGGCUAAUGUGUCCCAUCUGCAACCCUUUAAUUUGGAUAAAUGGCUCAAAAUCAACAUAUGUGACAAGGGGAAACAGUAACUGAAUAAUUAAACUCAUCAAGCCAUAUUUCUAUGGCCCUCUCGGAUGUGGGAAAACUGUUAGCCAAAGCAAUUGCUAAUGAAUCUCUGUUUCUUCUCCACGAGCCUUAAUCUAAAACAAUGUCUUAAUCCAGCUGGCAAGUAUGUAUGUUUGGAAGAAUGUCUUUCUAAGUUUUGGACUGAAUAAUCCAUGAAAUAUUGGAAUUUAAGAUCUUUCUAUAUUUUUAUGCUCAAUGAGAGCAGCUUAAACAACUAAACACUUUUUAUAAGGUUUAGUAUAGGAGACGAGGGGUGGAAAAUAAAUAGAUGCACGAUGGCUUGGCAAAUUUCAAUUUUUCAUUGAAUCUCCCCCAAUUUGUUUAUUCCAGUUAUAUCUUUUCAUUUUCACAAACCAUGAGGGAAAUCCCUUAGUUGUAGCAUCAAAUAUGCACCAUGGAAUAGCAGAGGUAACGAUUUCACAAGAUUUAUGCUGUUUAUAGAAGUUUUAGCACAAUUACUUAGUUUUAGAAUGCUUUGGUUUUUAUAUGAUUUUUUUCUAUAAUAGAAAGGGAUAUGUGUUUGUUAACUACAUCAAUCAAUGUUUAGUGUUGUUGGUGACCAAUCGUUCUUUCAUUUAUUUGAUAUUUUUUUUAUCAUUAAUAUUCAUUAAGUACUUAUCUACAUUGUUCAGUAGGCCCAGUCAUCGCUAGCGUGACACCUCUUGAUUGGCUAAUUUCCUAAAAAAUCCUACAUGGAGAUAAUUACCAGAUCAUGGUUUGGAACUACAUCCGCACAGUUGAUGUCGGAUGACAAAACUUCCUUCUGAAGAAAGAUUGGAAACAUCGAAAGAAAUGGGUGCAUGCGUGUGGAAUCUUCGUUUGAAGCUCCGAAUAGAAAAGGUCUUCAUCAACAAUUUACUUUAAGGUUCUUGAGCUAUCAGGGAUUCAGUUUCGGCAAACUUGCGAGAAUCGAAAUCGAUCAUUCGUACAUUCCAGAGUUUCGUGUCGAAACACUUGUCGUGGAAAGGAAUAAGAGACAUUUUUAGAUUCCUCUGAAUAUUUUUGAAGAUCGUUUCUACAGUGCUUUAAGAGCAGGUUAGCCCUUUACUAACGUUUUCGCCCUAAGGCGGAAGUGAAUGAAACUCGUGUUAUAACCUAUAGCGACUAUAGAACUAUUCUUAACCAUUUCCUGAACUUUCUUCUUCAUAACGCUAAUCCAAACAUUAAACACAAGUCAAGUUCCCCUCACGCUUACACAAAAUCCUAUGCGUGAGUUGGAAAUUAAUUAUUUAUUUAAUUCUAAAAUCUUGGGUCUGACAACCUUCGUACGAGUCGGAGAGAAGAACUUGAAGAACUGUGGAUGACUCGAAGAAUAGAGUCGGGUGUAGGGCUAGAGCCUUGGGUUAGAGAGCUUACCGUUAUUGGUAAGCUUGCAUAAUGAGUUUAGAAAUUUAUAUUUGGA